GCUGGGCGUGGUGGCACGUGCCUGUAAUCCCAGUUACUCAGGAAGCUGAGGCAGGAGAAUCACUUGAACCUGGGAGGUGGAGGUUGCAGUGAGCCGAGAUUGUGCCACUGCACUUCAGCCUGGGUGACAGAGUGAGAUUCUGUCUCAA
rnacentral:SRP_RNA from 1 species